rnacentral:rRNA from 1 species
CCUACGGGGGGCUGCAGUGGGGAAUAUUGGACAAUGGGGGCAACCCUGAUCCAGCCAUGCCACGUGUGUGAAGAAGGCCCUCGGGUUGUAAAGCACUUUCAGUGAGGAAGAACGCCUGGUGGUUAAUACCCAUCAGGAAAGACAUCACUCACAGAAGAAGCACCGGCUAACUCCGUGCCAGCAGCCGCGGUAAUACGGAGGGUGCGAGCGUUAAUCGGAAUUACUGGGCGUAAAGCGCGCGUAGGUGGCUUGAUAAGCCGGUUGUGAAAGCCCCGGGCUCAACCUGGGAACGGCAUCCGGAACUGUCAAGCUAGAGUGCAGGAGAGGAAGGUAGAAUUCCCGGUGUAGCGGUGAAAUGCGUAGAGAUCGGGAGGAAUACCAGUGGCGAAGGCGGCCUUCUGGACUGACACUGACACUGAGGUGCGAAAGCGUGGGUAGCAAACAGGAUUAAAUACCCGGGUAGUC